AUCGCUUCUCGGCCUUUUGGCUAAGAUCAAUGUGUAGUAUCUGUUCUUAUCAGCUUAUUUUUAAAUAAAUCUUAUUCGUAUUCAAAGAAGAAGAAAAAUAGAAGUGUUCCAUAAAGUGCUGAUACGAAAUUUAUUUAACCUAUCUGUUACAAUCCAUC
rnacentral:snRNA from 1 species